rnacentral:rRNA from 1 species
GGGGAGCAAACAGGAUUAGAUACCCUGGUAGUCCACGCCGUAAACGAUGAGUGCUAGGUGUUAGGGGUUUCGAUGCCCUUUAGUGCCGAAGUUAACACAUUAAGCACUCCGCUGGGGAGUACGACCGCAAGGUUGAAACUCAAAGGAAUUGACGGGGGCCCGCACAAGCAGUGGAGCAUGUGGUUUAAUUCGAAGCAACGCGAAGAACCUUACCAGGUCUUGACAUCCUUUGACCACUCUAGAGAUAGAGCUUUCCCCUUCGGGGGACAAAGUGACAGGUGGUGCAUGGUUGUCGUCAGCUCGUGUCGUGAGAUGUUGGGUUAAGUCCCGCAACGAGCGCAACCCUUGAUCUUAGUUGCCAGCAUUUAGUUGGGCACUCUAAGGUGACUGCCGGUGACAAACCGGAGGAAGGUGGGGAUGACGUCAAAUCAUCAUGCCCCUUAUGACCUGGGCUACACACGUGCUACAAUGGAUGGUACAAAGGGCUGCAAAACCGCGAGGUUGAGCGAAUCCCAUAAAGCCAUUCUCAGUUCGGAUUGUAGGCUGCAACUCGCCUACAUGAAGCCGGAAUUGCUAGUAAUCGCGGAUCAGCAUGCCGCGGUGAAUACGUUCCCGGGCCUUGUACACACCGCCCGUCACACCACGAGAGUUUGUAACACCCGAAGUCGGUGAGGUAACCUUUUGGAGCCAGCCGCCUAAGGUGGGACAGAUGAUUGGGGUGA